GGCUGGUCCAAAAGUGGUGAGUUAUCUCAAUUGAUUGCUCACAAUUAGUUACAAAUAGAAUUCCUUGUUCUACUCUUUCCCUCCUUCUCACUACUGCACUUGACUAGUCUUUA
rnacentral:Y_RNA from 1 species